GUAGGUGAACCUGCGGAAGGAUCAUUAAUGAAUAAACCUGUGUGGGUUGUUGCUGACCACUUUGGGGUAUGUGCACGCCUGCCAUCGUUUCAUUCACCCUUCCACCUGUGCACUUUCUGUAGGCUGUGCUGUUCUUUCGGGUUCUUGAAUCCCGGCAUGAGGAAUUGCCUUCUGGCCUUCCUUGGAUGGCUGCAGUCUAUGUCUUUAUCAACCCAUUGUAUGUAACUGAAUGUAUGAACUGGGCUUUUGU
rnacentral:misc_RNA from 1 species